rfam:Pan troglodytes isolate Yerkes chimp pedigree #C0471 (Clint) chromosome 19, whole genome shotgun sequence.
GCCAGGCAUGGUGGCGCAUGCCUGUAGUUCCAGCUAUUCAGGAGGCUGAGGUGGGAGGAUCACUUGAGCCCAGGAGUUCAAGGCUGCAGUGAGCCAUGAUCACACCACUGCACUCCAGCCUGGGUGAAAGAGUGAGACCCUGACUCAA